CUGGCCUGGCUGGGAGGCGCCUGGGAAGGGACCUGGAUCUGCAGCCCGCACCCUGGGGCCUGGAGGUGGGGCCCGGCAGAUGUCUGGGUCUGGUAGCCAGGGCCUGAGGCCGGAUGCUGAGAGCAAGGUCUGCAACUCAUUUCCCCAUUAAACAUUCUGAGAACAUCUGCACGGGUUUCCAAGGCUUCUCCCUCACUAAUCGCUCUGAUUAUUGUGUGAAGUUAAGGACUGGCGCUGUUCCUCGAUGUUGUCAGAAGGUGAAAAGAUCGCUCUUAAUUAGAUUAAAAACAUUUUUUUCUUCCUCUGUAAUUUUGCCUUGAAAAAAAAAUCAAGGCCGUUUCUUUCCUUUCUUUCUUUCUUUUUUUUUUUUUCUCUUCAUGCAAAGACCUCCAGAAACUUCCCUCCCCACCUCUCCAGAGGUUUCUCGGAACGUCCUCUGAGCUCAACCCUUGGAGGAGAUAGUGCUUAGCCCAUGAUAU
rfam:Erinaceus europaeus unplaced genomic scaffold scaffold00861, whole genome shotgun sequence